rnacentral:tmRNA from 1 species
AUUUCAGGCUUAUCUUGAUGUUUUUACUGAAUAUUGUUAUACUAUAAAUCAAGCUGUAUAUCUGAUUGACUGACAGUUUUCUGGACGCGGGUUCGAUUCCCGCCGCCUCCACCAUAAGUGCAUUAGGCGCUUAUUAUGACUUGGUGUAUUUAUGACGGGGGCGUCAUUGGUUUCGACAGGGAAAAAUAGGAAUAUUGGCAGCCGGUAGGCGAAGACCGUAAAUCUAGCAAACUCUAUAAAUGCAAAUGACGAAAGUUACGCAUUAGCCGCCUAAUUUGGUGUCGCUAGGAGCUUGAUCCACUUGGCAACAGAACGGAUUAAAGGGGCUUCGGCCCCUUUUUU